rnacentral:rRNA from 1 species
AGGGAAUCUUCGGCAAUGGACGGAAGUCUGACCGAGCAACGCCGCGUGAGUGAAGAAGGUUUUCGGAUCGUAAAGCUCUGUUGUAAGAGAAGAACGAGUGUGAGAGUGGAAAGUUCACACUGUGACGGUAUCUUACCAGAAAGGGACGGCUAACUACGUGCCAGCAGCCGCGGUAAUACGUAGGUCCCGAGCGUUGUCCGGAUUUAUUGGGCGUAAAGCGAGCGCAGGCGGUUAGAUAAGUCUGAAGUUAAAGGCUGUGGCUUAACCAUAGUACGCUUUGGAAACUGUUUAACUUGAGUGCAAGAGGGGAGAGUGGAAUUCCAUGUGUAGCGGUGAAAUGCGUAGAUAUAUGGAGGAACACCGGUGGCGAAAGCGGCUCUCUGGCUUGUAACUGACGCUGAGGCUCGAAAGUGUGGGUAUCAAACAGGAUUAGAUACCCUGGUAGUCCACGCCGUAAACGAUGAGUGCUAGGUGUUAGACCCUUUCCGGGGUUUAGUGCCGCAGCUAACGCAUUAAGCACUCCGCCUGGGGAGUACGACCGCAAGGUUG